CUCAAGUGUCAGUCACGCUGGGGGUGUUUUGGGGGCUGUAUCAGCCACGCUGGGGGACUAAGAGAGGCUGGUCUCGGGAUUUCAGUGACACUGGAGGUGACGGGCUGGUCUUUGACUGUGCCAUUCACGCUGGGGUUGGGACAGAGGCCGGUCCCUGUCAGUGCCCGUCCCAUGAGGAUGUCACAGGGCGGUCUCUGGUUGUGUCGGUCACUCAGGAGGUGUGACGGGGCUGUCUCUGGCAGCGUCAGUCACUCUGGAGGUAUGACAGGGGCCUGCCUUCGGCUGUGUCACUCACAGAGGUAAGAGGGGCGACCGGCCCCCACCCCUUCGCUCAGCGAUUGGUGACCAGCGCUGCCAGUCAACCGAUCUGAGGCCGGCGAUUGGUCCGUCAGAAAAAGGGCGGUGCAUCGGCGCGCACCCAGCGACGGCGGGCCGUUCUCCCCUCGCCGCCGAUGGUCCCGGCACAACAUGGCGGCCGCCGGCCGGGCCGGACCUUGAGUACUGCUGCCCUCGUUCCGCCCGCGGGGCCGAGGCCGCCGGGGACAGCGCCCGGCCCGGCCCUCCGCGCACGGAAGCUGAUGUGAAGGAAACCAACUAUGAAAGGUCUGAGGAAUUUGUACUGCCUGUUUCCACAAUUACUAACAAGUGCGUCCCUGCUGAACAUUCAGCUUGAGAAGAAAUUCUCACAGAGCUGAUGGAGGAAUCCUUGCAAAUCUACGACUGGAAGUAUGAUUCAUCCACGCCUGGGGUCUUUGUCACCUUCACACCUGCAUUGUGAAUAUGAACAUUUAGAGUGCUGUUACUCUGAAGAACCUCAAGGAGAGAUAUCCAUUUUGGAAACCUGUGAGCUCUGUUGAGAAAAUACACCGAGGUGGCUGACCAGUGUGCACAAUAACACUGAAAGCAGGAGUGAUCCCUGCAAGAUUACCUGGUGAUGCUGGAGAGUGCUUAUGACUGCCGGGAGUACACAAGGGUUGUUUACCUGGAGAAUUCGAAGCUGCUGCAAUGUGCCUGUUCUGGAGGAUUGCUAGUGGUUUUCUGAAGGCCAGGAAGAUGAUUAGGAAGCUUUCUGGACAGCUCUGUUAGGCCUUUCCCUCUGUGCUGCUACAUAUGCUGUCUUUUCUGCAUGAUACCGGCUGACAGUAUCCCAGACAUCCUUGGGAUGAUAUUGAGAAUGCUGUAACAGGACAGCAGACCAGAGGUGUUCCAGAACUUCCCAAACCCACCAUUCACACAGGUGGGUUCCUUCCGUAGGCCUUCCAGUACUUCCUUUCAUUGCUGCCAAGUUUGGCAGUUUGACACCAUCCUUUGGUCUUGUUGUGUUCCCUAACGAGUUACUGAAAGAGAACACCUGGUGCUCCUGGUUCUGAUUUAGCAAGGUAAAAAUGAAUGUGAGUCUUUGGAAGAAGACUUGUGGGGAGAAAAGUGCAGGACUUUGCCUGAUGUGUUUGUUUGUACGCUAGAGUUCUGAAGGUUUCUUGUCUUUAAGUGAGCUUAAAGUGUAUGUUAUUAAAC
ensembl:lncRNA